CUACGGGUGGCAGCAGUAAGGAAUAUUGCGCAAUGGAGGCAACUCUGACGCAGCCAUGCCGCGUGCAGGAAGAAGGCCUUAUGGGUCGUAAACUGCUUUUAUUUAGGAAUAAACCCCCGAACGUGUUCGGGGCUGAAGGUACUAAACGAAUAAGCACCGGCUAACUCCGUGCCAGCAGCCGCGGUAAUACGGAGGGUGCAAGCGUUAUCCGGAUUUAUUGGGUUAAAGGGUGCGCAGGCGGGCUAUUAAGUCAGUGGUGAAAUCCCGGGGCUCAACUCCGGAACUGCCAUUGAUACUGUUAGUCUUGAGUUUGGUUGAAGUGGGCGGAAUGUAGCAUGUAGCGGUGAAAUGCAUAGAUAUGCUACAGAACACCAAUCGCGAAGGCAGCUCACUAAGCCAAAACUGACGCUCAUGCACGAAAGCGUGGGGAUCAAACAGGAUUAGAUACCCUGGUAGUC
rnacentral:rRNA from 1 species